rnacentral:lncRNA from 1 species
AAGAGAUUGGAAGCCCUACUCCACGGAGUGCAUGGAACCCUGACAGGGAGCUGCUCUAUAAAAGUGCCCUUGCUCCUCCUGUGCCUGUGGUUUGUCACCUAGUAUCACAGCUCUGAUGGCAAUGACAACGGCCAAUGAAUUUGCCCUUUUUUAAAAUCAGUGCUGUUGAUUGGAUGUUGCCUCAGGAAGAAGUGCUUUUUUUUUUUUUUUAAAUGCUGGCAAUGUAGAGCCAGAGGCAUAGCUACCCCAAGAGUUAGUUAAACAGACACUGCCGUGCUGAUUGCCUCUAGCCAUUCUGGAAGAAGUCUCUUGGUGAGAGGCAGAGUGUCAGAGUCUGUGUUACUUCUGGGGACUGACGAGGACGAGGCUCCGGGGUCGUGCGUGGUGGUCUUGGUAGACACCGGUCUGUGCCGGUCCUCACCCACUGCCCGCAUUUCCUCAGCUCCUUGCAGGGCAUUCUCAGAACUCAGGGCAGCUGCAAAUCAGGCUGGUGGGGAAGCAUUACAAAAGUCCAAUUGAGUCACCACAUUUUAUUUCUUAGUAUGUUUAACAUUUUAUAUCAGAUUAAAAUUUAUAGUGAACAUAGUCUGU